UACGGAGGGAGCGAGCGUUGUUCGGAUUUACUGGGCGUAAAGGGCGCGUAGGUGGCUUGGUUAGUCCGACGUGAAAUGUACCGGUUCAACCGGGGCACUGCGGCGGAAACUGCCGAGCUUGAGGCCGAGGGAGGAAGGUGGAAUUCCUGGUGUAGCGGUGAAAUGCGUAGAUAUCAGGAGGAACACCCGUGGCGAAGGCGACCUUCUAUCUCGGAUCUGACACUGAGGCGCGAAAGCCAGGGGAGCAAACGGG
rnacentral:rRNA from 1 species